rfam:Picea glauca, whole genome shotgun sequence.
ACCAAGGAUUCUAGCAUGAGUGUGCGUUGGUGGGUUUGUAAACUUGUAAGGCGUAAGGAAGCUGACGGGCGAGAUCUCCCCUUGAUGAGGUGCAUUGUCGACUGACCUUGAACUUGUGCAAAGGGUUCAAGUGCGAGCACACCUGUUGGGAUCUGAAAUAUGGUGAACUAUGCAUGAGCAGGGUGAAGCCAGAGGAAACUCGGGUGGAGGCCCAUAGCGAUACUGGCAUGCAAAUCAUUUGUCUCACUUGGGUAUAGGGGUGAAAGACUAAUUGAACCAUCUAGUAGUCGGUUUCCUCUUAAGUUUCCCUUGGGAUAGCUAGAGCUUACAUGCAAGUUUUAUCAGUUAAAGAAAAUGAUUAGAGACAUCAAGGGCGUAAUGUCCUCGACCUAUUCUCAAAAUUUAAAUAGGUAAGAUGGCGUGGUUGAUCCAUUGAGCCAUGCCAUGUAAUCUAGAGCUCCAAGUGGGCCAUUUUCGGUAAGCAGAACUGGCGAUGUGGGAUGAACCAAAAGUCCAAUUACUGCACCAAACUGUGCACUAACCCAAAUCCCACAAAGGGUGUUGGUUGCUUAAGACAGUAGGUCAGUGGUCAUGGAAGCUGAAAUCUACUAAGGAGUGUGUAACAACUCACCUUUUGAAUCAACUAGCCCUGAAAAGGGAUGGUUUUGAAGUGUGCAACCUUUACUCGGUCGUCAAAGAAAUUGCUAGGCUUCGAUGAGUAGGAGGACGUGGGGGUCGUUAAGAAACCUUGGGUGUGAGCUUAGGUGGACCGACCCCCGGUGCAGAUCUUGGUGGUAGUAGAAAAUAUUCAAAUGAGAACUUUGAAUACUGAAGUGGGGAAAGGUUCCAUGUGAAUAACACUUGGACAUGGAUUUGUCAAUCCUAAGAUAUGGAGAAACCAUUCAUCAAGGUUGCACUCUGCAUGAACAUCAAAAGGGAAUCGAUUUAAUAUUCCAGAACUAGGACAUGGCAGUGGAUGACAACAUUAGGAAAUAUGGAUACAUUGUUAGGGGCCCCGGGAAGAGCUAUUUUUUCUUUUAACAACUUUCCCACCCUGAAAUCAGCUCAACCGAAGAUAGGGUUCAACAGCUGGAAGAGCACCGCACGUCUUGCAGUGUCUAGUGCACCCUCAUUGGCCCUUGAAAAUUUGGAGGACUGAGUACAUUCCAUGCACGGUCAUACCCAUAAAUGUAGGUAACAAGGUGAACAAUGGUCAUUCGCAUCAGAUCUCCAAGGUGAACAACCUCUGGUC